rnacentral:rRNA from 1 species
UUCGAAAGGAAGAUUAAUACCCCAUAACAUAUUGAGUGGCAUCACUUAAUAUUGAAAACUCCGGYGGAUAGAGAUGGGCACGCGCAAGAUUAGAUAGUUGGUGAGGUAACGGCUCACCAAGUCAAUGAUCUUUAGGGGGCCYGAGAGGGUGAUCCCCCACACYGGUAYUGAGACACGGACCAGASUCCUACGGGAGGCAGCAGUGAGGAAUAUUGGACAAUGGGUGAGAGCCUGAUCCAGCCAUCCCGCGUGAAGGACGACGGCCCUAUGGGUUGUAAACUUCUUUUGUAUAGGGAUAAACCUUUCCACGUGUGGAAAGCUGAAGGUACUAUAMGAAUAAGCACCGGCUAACUCCGUKCCAGCAGCCGCGGUAAUACGGAGGGUGCAAGCGUUAUCCGGAUUUAUUGGGUUUAAAGGGUCCGUAGGCGGGCUCGUAAGUCAGUGGUGAAAUCUCAUAGCUUAACUAUGAAACUGCCAUUGAUAYUGCGAKCCUUGAGUAAGGUAGAGGUAGCUGGAAUAAGUAGUGUAGCGGUGAAAUGCAUAGAUAUUACUUAGAACACCAAUUGCGAAGGCAGGUUACCAUGUYUUAACUGACGCUGAUGGAMGAAAGCGUGGGGAGCGAACAGGAUUAGAUACCSUGGUAGUCCACRCCGUAAMCGAUGSUAACUCGUUU